CCUCGCUCCAGCGGGCGGCCGACACCGCGGAGCGCUCGACCCGCUCCACCGGCUGACCGGGCCCGGUGCGCGCCGGUACGCACCCGGGGGUGACGCCC
rnacentral:tRNA from 1 species